rnacentral:rRNA from 1 species
AGCCAUGCAUGUCUCAGUAUAAGCUUCUAUACGGUGAAACUGCGAAUGGCUCAUUAAAACAGUUACAGUUUAUUUGAUGGUCAUUCCUUACAUGGAUAACCGUGGUAAUUCUAGAGCUAAUACAUGCGCCCAAACCGGACUCCGUGGAAGGGUUGUGUUUAUUAGUUACAGAACCAACCCAGGCUCUGCCUGGUCUUGUGGUGAUUCAUAAUAACCGAACGAGUCGCAUGGCAUCAGCUGGCGAUGAAUCAUUCAAGUUUCUGACCUAUCAGCUUCCGACGGUAGGGUAUUGGCCUACCGUGGCAAUGACGGGUAACGGAGAAUUAGGGUUCGAUUCCGGAGAGGGAGCCUGAGAAGCGGCUACCACAUCUAAGGAAGGCAGCAGGCGCGCAAAGUACCCAAUCCUGACACAGGGAGGUAGUGACAAGAAAUAACAAUACAGGGCAUCCAUGUCUUGUAAUUGGAAUGAGUAGAAUUUAAAUCCCUUUAUGAGUAUCGAUUGGAGGGCAAGUCUGGUGCCAGCAGCCGCGGUAAUUCCAGCUCCAAUAGCGUAUAUUAAAGUUGUUGCGGUUAAAAAGCUCGUAGUUGGAUUUCUGCCGAGGACGACCGGUCCGCCCACUGGGUGUGUAUCUGGCUCGGCCUGGGCAUCUUCUUGGAGAACGUAGCUGCACUUGAUUGUGUGGUGCGGUAUCCAGGACUUUUACUUUGAGGAAAUUAGAGUGUUUCAAGCAGGCACACGCCUUGAAUACAUUAGCAUGGAAUAAUAAGAUAGGACCUUGGUUCUAUUUUGUUGGUUUCUAGAACUGAGGUAAUGAUUAAUAGGGAUAGUUGGGGGCAUU